GCGAACGCUGGCGGCAGGCCUAACACAUGCAAGUCGAACGAACUCUUCGGAGUUAGUGGCGGACGGGUGAGUAACACGUGGGAACGUGCCUUUUGGUUCGGAAUAACUCAGGGAAACUUGUGCUAAUACCGAAUGUGCCCUUCGGGGGAAAGAUUUAUCGCCAUUAGAGCGGCCCGCGUCUGAUUAGCUAGUUGGUGAGGUAACGGCUCACCAAGGCGACGAUCAGUAGCUGGUCUGAGAGGAUGACCAGCCACACUGGGACUGAGACACGGCCCAGACUCCUACGGGAGGCAGCAGUGGGGAAUCUUGCGCAAUGGGCGAAAGCCUGACGCAGCCAUGCCGCGUGAAUGACGAAGGUCUUAGGAUUGUAAAAUUCUUUCACCGGGGACGAUAAUGACGGUACCCGGAGAAGAAGCCCCGGCUAACUUCGUG
rnacentral:rRNA from 1 species